AGCCAUAUCUCUAAAACCAUUUGGGAAGUUGUUUGCUAGAAAUGCAACGCAUGAUGACAUCAGUCUGUGUGAAUUUCAUUGUUUCGAGUGUUCCGGGCACAAAUAAAGGUCUCUAUUUGGUUUUUCAUUCAUCACAAAAUGAUAAAACAGAUGUUAGCAAUUCAUUUUCCCCCCCAUCGGUUGCUAACUAUCAACCUCAAUGUGGCAUGUGGCAGCAAAUGAUAGCUAGGCAUACCGCGAGUAAGCACAGCUUUCUUUUGUAAUCAAAAUAAUAUGGUCAUAAUAGCAUGUGUAUGAGCUGUGCAGUACAGCCUUUGCCUGUCACAGAAGCUGACAUUUUACAUAUGGAUAUCUUUAAUGUAUCUGAGGUGUUUGAGCUGAAUCACUUGGGGAUAUUAUAUAAAGAUGGAUAUAGAAGUGAGGUAAGCUUCUCAAGUGACAAGGGAGAUGGAGAAAGUGACUGACAACUCAGGCUAUCUGUGUAUCAUCCAACUAAACACGUAGGGGUCUUAGGACCACAAGAACCGUAUAAAUACAGAUAAUCUGAGAACACUUGACGGGUCUCAAACAGAAGACUAUUUUUAAGGUGUAGUCACAAUAACUUCCAUGGCAUUACGUACGGCCCUACAUGAGAUUGCUGAACGAAAACAACCUUCUAAACCCACUAUUGCUGGGACUGAAGCUGCAGGUAGUAAAGGCUGUCAUGCUUAUUGCUACCACAGCACCUCAGGUGAGAUCUAACAGUCAAUAGCUUGCCAAGAGGCAGAGCAAGCCCUUACAGCUGUACAGACACAGGGAUGCCUUGGCCACUGCCAGCAGACAGGAGAUGUGACUGUGAGUUUCACAGAAAGCAAUGUCGUGGUAUUCUUUUAUAUGCCUUCAAGCACCAGCAUACAGCCGUGUAACACGGCGUGGAGGUUUGUUACUGUGCAACUCUGAAUUAGCUGCUGCUGGGCCUAAGCUUAAGCUUUUACUGUGAGGACUUCCUACUUCCUUCGUCAGACACAUUCGAGGUCCUUUAUGUUGCCGGAAAACUAUAGGGGACCUCAGUCCUGGGAAUCAUAAUUGUGGCUUAUAAGCAGAGAAGAGGCUUUUUGGUUUGGACAAGCCCAUCCCUCCCUCAGCAGCCACAGCGAAAAAACCCUGUGGCUCCUUCCUCCUCAUGCAUGUGGCAGCCACAGUGGGCUGGGUUACAGUGAGGGAAGCCAUAUUGUCACAAGGCUCCUCAUGUUCCUGCCAUGGCCUUGCUUCAGGGGACAGCAAAUACGUCCUGAAGAAAGAAAGUGGGAAUAUGGAACGAGAUCCCAGCACUUUUUACAGUAACAUAUAUAUGUGACAAACAAGAAUUAAUUUAUUUUUCUUAUACCACCAGAAAGUGAAGAGAAAUGAGAGUCAGCAUCCUUGAGGAAGUUGUCAUGUUGUGAUCCAGAUAUACAAGUGGACCUGUCUUUGAUGGCAGUGGUGUCUUAUCUCCCGUGAGUUAGCAUCAGAUGAAGCUUGCUGACAGCAUAAUGGCAGGGAAAACCUCCGACGGCUCCAUCAAAUGGCAGCUCUGCUACGACAUCUCGGCCAGAACUUGGUGGAUGUAGAGCAGCCUCACACUUGUCCCACUUGUGUGCUUUCCCCUGUGUAACAGGAGACCGUUAAUGUGCACUACAGUUUCCAGAGGGAAGCUUUUUCAAUUCUCCUUAAGGGGGAAAAGAGGAAAAAAAAAAAACCUAUGCAAAGAAGUAGUUUUGCAACGCCUUGUACAGAGAAACUUGUCUCAGUCGGCUGCUUAACGCUCAGUUUGUUUUACUUUAUCUGCUGCUUUCAAGCAUUCGUGUGCGUGUGCGUUUUUUCCCAUGCGGUAUUUUGUAAAGAGGGGAGGUGGAAAGUUCAGUCCGUUACAAAGCAAGUUGCUUUCCUGUCAAAGCCUGGACCGGUGCGGGAGUGUCGUGGUGUAAAAUCAUCACGUGUGAGAGGAGCGUGUUUUGCGAGGUGCUGCCUUUCCUCGGAGACCCCGAGCUAACUUUUUCCCUCCGCCUGUUUACGUUAGAACAGGUUACCGGGCUGUGCUGACCUGGAGCCAUGUGUUACAGAUCCCGCAGAGUCUGGCUCUAGCUGCUUUUGGGCGCAAUUAAAGUUUCCCUAAAAGUCCCAACGUGCUCCGUAGAACGAGUUAACUAGCAUGUCAUGGUCAGCCGGGCCAGACAACCUUUGACAUCUUGAAUCUAUAAGAGGUAUAGUGAGUUAGGAGGAUGCACAAUAGCCCAUUGUGGCAGAAGAUGCAAGUCCUGUUGUGAGGAAGAGAGUCCUCAAAUCAUUACUGCCCUCGUUAGCGUGUUGUCCGUUAGGGAUUAAUUCGUUAGCAGCGCAUUUUUAGUUUUCUGUAAUUAUUAUUCUUGUGGCAAGCGUGAAUUCUUCCAGUGAGAGGAAAAGUUUGCUGCCAGGACAAUGAAUGUAUUAUCCGCUCCUAACUGGACCGUGAACCUCAGCUCAUUUCACAUAGAUAUCAGUUAAAAAAGGACUGGCGAGUGGAAUUACAAAACAAGGCAUGAUCACUUUCAUUGUAUGAUACGCUGAAACAAGUCGGGGGCUUUCCCUCCCCUUCGCCGCCCCGGACCAAUUUUGGUAUCAUUUGGAAAGUUUAAGACCUCUGAGGACUUGAAAGACUUUUAAAAGUGAGAUCCGGAAGGUUUUUAUUCUGCAGCUUGGUGGUGGCCAUUGUGUAUAUCAUGUGGCUUGUAUUUAAAGGUGUUUGGGCUCGGGGUUUAUCCAUUUUGUUUUGUCUAAACUCUUAAUUUUUUUUAACCGUCUAUUAGAGGUUUGCCAGCGGUUGCCAGUGAAAUGUAACAUGCAGCUUUUGGUUAAUGGCAAUAGGGAAGUCUAACCACUUUACUUAUAGUACUGAUUUUCCAAUUAGACUUUCUGCCAGGGGAAGUUGGAGGGGGAAGGGGUAUUUGCAUGCACAUAAACUGUUGAUUAUUCAUGUGACUUUUUUUUUUCUAGCUUGUUAAACCCUUGUAAAUAAGGCUAUUGAUUCUUUGUUAUCAUUUUCAAAGCGAAGUUUUCAAGUACCUGUUUUAACCACAAGAUUUAGAGCAUGCUGUGAUUUAUUUUUUGUCUUAUUCUAAGCCAUGUGUGUAUUUUAUUACCACUCCUCUUUUAUUGUCUAUCGGCUGCUUUUAUGAUGAGGUAUGUCCGUAGUUUACUAUUUCAUAAGUAUCCUCAAAUGUUACUUAGCAGUUAUUUACACCCUGUAGAAAGUGUCCGAGGAAGUUUCAUUUCAGUCACAUCUAUUUCACACAUGUUUUAGUACUGCGAAUAUAAUAUGUAAUAAUGCUGGAAACAUUUAGUAAUGCACUUGCCUAAAAAUAAACAGUUUUAUAACCACA